rnacentral:misc_RNA from 1 species
GAUGAAGAACGCAGCGAAAUGCGAUACGUAGUGUGAAUUGCAGAAUUCAGUGAAUCAUCGAAUCUUUGAACGCACAUUGCACCUCUCGGUAUUCCGGGAGGUAUGCCUGUUCGGGCGUCAUUUGUACCCUCAAGCUCUGCUUGGUGUUGGGUGUUUGUUCCGCCUCUGUGUGUGAACUCGCCUCAAAACAAUUGGCAGCCGGCGUACUUGUUUCGGAGCGCAGCACAUUUUGCGAUCCAGAUCAACGUACAGCGGCAUCCAAGAAGCCUUAUUUAACGCUCUUGACCUCGGAUCAGGUAGGGAUACCCGCUGAACUUAAGCAUAUCAAUAAGCGGAGGA